AUUGAACGCUGGCGGCAGGCCUAACACAUGCAAGUCGAACGAGUGGCGGACGGGUGAGUAAUUUCUGGGAAACUGCCCGAUGUAGGGGGAUAACUACUGGAAACGGUAGCUAAUACCGCAUACCAUCGGAUGUGCCCAGGUGGGAUUAGCUAGUAGGUGGGGUAACGGCUCACCUAGGCGACGAUCCCUAGCCGGUCUGAGAGGAUGACCAGCCACACUGGAACUGAGACACGGUCCAGACUCCGACGGGAGGCAGCAGUGGGGAAUAUUGCACAAUGGGCGAAAGCCUGAUGGAGCCAUGCCGCGUGUAUGAAGAAGGCCUUCGGGUUGUAAAGCACUUUCGGCGGGGAGGCGUUAUCUGAAGAAGAAGCCCCGGCUAACUCCGUGCCAGCAGCCGCGGUAAUAC
rnacentral:rRNA from 1 species